rnacentral:rRNA from 1 species
UGGCGGACGGGUGAGUAAUGUCUGGGAAACUGCCCGAUGGAGGGGGAUAACUACUGGAAACGGUAGCUAAUACCGCAUAACGUCGCAAGACCAAAGAGGGGGACCUUAGGGCCUCUUGCCAUCGGAUGUGCCCAGAUGGGAUUAGCUAGUAGGUGGGGUAAUGGCUCACCUAAGCGACGAUCCCUAGCUGGUCUGAGAGGAUGACCAGCCACACUGGAACUGAGACACGGUCCAG